AUCCGGCUGACGAGUCCCAAAUAGGACAAAGCGCGCGUUAUCCUGGAU
rnacentral:hammerhead_ribozyme from 1 species